rnacentral:rRNA from 1 species
UACGUAGGGGGCAAGCGUUGUCCGGAAUUAUUGGGCGUAAAGCGCGCGCAGGCGGUCGGCUUAGUCUGGGGGUUAAACCCGGGGCUCAACCCCGGGUCAACUUGGAAACGGGUCGACUGGAGGACAGAAGAGGAGAGUGGAAUUCCACGUGUAGCGGUGAAAUGCGUAGAGAUGUGGAGGAACACCAGUGGCGAAGGCGACUCUCUGGUCUGCACCUGACGCUGAGGCGCGAAAGCGUGGGGAGCAAACAGG